GGAAGUGACCAAAAACUCAAAUCCACUCCUUGUAUGAUGACAAAAGAAAGAUGGUGUAUAGUACUUUCAAUUAUUUCAAAAGUUAGCAGCAUAGGGUAGUCAAUUCAUCCAGCAAAAGAUGAAAAGAAACUGUUACUUAAUUCACUCUUUCACCCUCAAAACUCCAACUCUGAACUUACUCUUCAGAAAACACCAAAUUUAACUCUUCUAGCUAUAAUUAUUUCCCUUAAAUUUUUUUGAGAUACAUAACUGCUACAAACUUCUUUUGUUGAUCAUUUUUUUCUCUUCUCUUUCUCUUUUUUGUACACUGAUGGAUUCACCAAAAAUACACCCCUGUAGACUAAAAACUUCAAUUACUCUCAUUCUCAUAAUUUUUCUUACCUUAUUUGCUUCUAAUUUAGAAGGGUCACAAAAUUUGAAGAAAGAUCAAGAAAAUAAGGGUGUGAUGAAUCAAAAUAAAUUGGUAUUGGGAUCAAGACCACCUAGGUGUGUUAACAAAUGCUUGAGCUGCAGGCCUUGCAUGGCUGCUUUAGUAAUCUCACCUCAUCACAAAGUUGGUCACAUUCACAAGGCAAAAAUAACAGCUGAAAAAGAUGAGGGUUAUUAUCUUCUGUCAUGGAAAUGCAAGUGUGGUAACAGGUUCUUUCAACCAUGAAAGUUCAUAUAUAAUAUUAUAUAGCCAUAUAGUGCCUAAGAUAUAGUGGCAUGUUUAUGUAAAGUUUAAAAGAUUGAGCAAUUCUUAGUGUACCUGUUGUGUAGUAAUAGUAUGAACCAAAAUGUUAAUCAACCUUCUCCUUUUCAAAUAGCAAUCAGUUAAUUCCCAACAA